CUACCAUGCAGUCGAGCGGAUGAGAGGAGCUUGCUCCUCGAUUCGCGGCGGACGGGUGAGUAAUGCCUAGGAGUCUGCCUAGUACUGGGGGACGACGUUUCUAAAGGAACGCUAAUACCGCAUACGUCCUACGGGAGAAAGUGGGGGAUCUUCGGACCUCACGCUUUUAGAUGAGCCUAGGUCGGAUUAGCUAGUUGGUAGGGUAAAGGCCUACCAAGGCGACGAUCCGUAACUGGUCUGAGAGGAUGAUCAGUCACACUGGAACUGAGACACGGUCCAGACUCCUACGGGAGGCAGCAGUGGGGAAUAUUGGACAAUGGGCGAGAGCCUGAUCCAGCCAUGCCGCGUGUGUGAGGAAGGCCCUCGGGUCGUAAAGCACUUUAACUUGGGAGGAAGGGCUUACAGCGAAUACCUGUGAUUUUUGACGUUACCGACAGAAUAAGCACCGGCUAACUUCGUGCCUACAGCCGCGGUAAU
rnacentral:rRNA from 1 species